rnacentral:rRNA from 1 species
GAAGAUGCGGUGUACCCGCGGCUAGACGGAAAGACCCCGUGAACCUUUACUAUAGCUUGACACUGAACAUUGAAUUUUGAUGUGUAGGAUAGGUGGGAGACUUUGAAGCAGUCACGCCAGUGAUUGUGGAGUCGUCCUUGAAAUACCACCCUUUAACGUUUGAUGUUCUAACGAAGAUUGCGGAACGCGGUCUCGGACAGUGUCUGGUGGGUAGUUUGACUGGGGCGGUCUCCUCCCAAAGAGUAACGGAGGAGCACGAAGGUUUGCUAAUGACGGUCGGACAUCGUCAGGUUAGUGCAAUGGUAGAAGCAAGCUUAACUGCGAGACAGACAAGUCGAGCAGGUGCGAAAGCAGGUCAUAGUGAUCCGGUGGUUCUGAAUGGAAGGGCCAUCGCUCAACGGAUAAAAG